GUGUGAUCGUAGCGAUGCGUAGAAUCUUUUUAUAAACUUUUCAUACUAUUUUUAUAUGAUUGGUGUACUGUUCUAAUUGUAGCCUUGUUUGCUUCGUGUAUGUUUGUUGCCGUAUGUUUGUGAUCGAUGAUCGGAAUUAGUCGGUGAGCAAUUCGUGGUGGUCAAGAGUGCUUCAGUGAUCAAGAUCAGAGCCUUGGCAACUAGUAAGACCAGUG
rnacentral:lncRNA from 1 species